CCCAACCCAACCCCCGCGCGCCCAGGCCGUACACACAACACGCCACCCUUUCGGAAUCGGAGAGAGGAGAGGACUUGUUGCGCAAGAAGUUGUCUCGCUGUACCCGUGACCUCCGACCCUUUUGGUCUAGGACGUGCAGCGCACAGGCGUACUGUAUGUAUUGAGUGUUGUGUCGCUGCGGUCAGUCAAGUGGUCAGUGGGUCAGCGGCUGUCAGCAGCGGCGGCGGCGGGGCGGGGCCUGGCCCGGGCGCGGGGCCGUGGGGGGCGCGCUGGCUGGCCGCGACUGCUGUAGAAGCCCAAUGACCGUAACCGUCAGCCAAGGGCGCGGGCCGGGCGCGGCAGCAUCCUAAAAGAAGUGGGGCGGGUGCGCAUCAGUAUUUUAGGAGCCGGUCGAAAAAAAGAAGGGGGGGGGGGGACCGAUAAGGUCGUCGGCCUCGGUUACAACUUUUGGCAUAAGAAACUCUGCCGAAUUGUGUAUUUUCUCUGCCAAUAAUUCUACCCAAGGCGAGGCCCAAAAAGGCUUGAAGAGCGCGGGGUCCGGGACUUGCCAUUUUCUUUUUCCGGUAACCCUUUUCCUGCGGCUCUGCGCUUUCGCGCGGCAGCCAAGGCUCUAGCAUCUCUGCUUCUCUGUCUCUCUCGCACCCUCUGCGUGCUUGAUUGAGCCCAAGUAGUGCCACUUGAGCGGCUCCACGUGGUCCCGUCCAUGACUAAAUGCGCAGAGCAUGAGAACUCGCCUGAAUAAUUGGUGUAGUUAUUUGAUUAAAAUCGCCAUAUCGUAGCCAAAUAAAAAUUUCUCACGGCUAUCUUUUCCAUUUCGUUGGCCAUCGCCACCGCCACCGCCGCCGCAAUCCACCGACAGCUUGCCGUUGCGAAAUACACCCGCUCACCCCCUUCCCUCCUGCCUCGAGAGUUUUGUUCGGUGGGCACGGCCCGACUGUAGGCUCGGCUUGCCGUCGACUCGGCGGGGAUGUCUGCGGCCGAGGCUCGCGGCUGCACCGGUUUUUUUCCUCCCGCGGCGAUUCGCGAGCUCGGCGCGGCCGCCACGCUGGCCGGGGCCGUGGUGGUUGGUGGUGGGCUGUGCCGCCGUGUCGAGUUGGGCCGCGACCCGCGAGUGCUGGAGGACAAUACCGAUGAGAUACAGGCCGAUGUUGCCAAAGGGCGCUUCUCAUCGCGUUGCGUCCGCCCCCCCCCCCCGCCCUCAUUAUGAGAUCCGCCCCUAUUUCUGCCCAUUCCCCGCCCCUCCCCCUCGAGGCUGCGGCGCUGUCCUCAGCUUUCAGGACCUCCAGGCGGCGGCGCGGGCGUGGUGCCGACUAGGUGCCGACGGCCGCCUCAUUGGCGUGGCGAACGCGCGACGGCCGCGACCAAACUCGAUAUGAAAAGCCAUUCUGGAGCUCCUUCUGGGCCGCGCGCGCCGUGCUGGGCUCUGUCAGCUCUGUCCCCGCGGCACCGGCCCCGGGCCGUGGCCCCCGAGCGGGCGGUGACGUCGGCACCGGACCAGAACGGGGGCCGUCCGGGAAGGAGGACGCGAGUCCGUCCCGGGGCCCGGAGGCAAAGCCCGAAGGUAUGCGGUGCGAAUAACUGUGAAAAGUACCUAAGCACGGGAGACAAUGCGCGUAAGGAAGCGUAAGGGCUCAUCCAGAAAGUACGUCCGUCGGUCGCCGAUAGACAACUCAACCAAGUCCAGCCCGUGCAAGAGGUCAUGGCGCCUGAGCAGUAGGCAAACAUCUUACGUGCAGUGCAUGCGUGCACCACCCGGUGGCCUAUCUUGAGUCUCGCAGGCGCCGAACUCCUCUAAGAAUCUGAGAAAAGGGGACCCAUAUUCUGGACAAUCCCUCCUGUUUCAAGACAAGGAUUUUCUUGGUCUGCUCCGCACUUCCGACGCCCUUAGUUUUAUUGGUAAUUUCUGUCAUGAAUCAGUAUUGCAUUGAGUGUGAAACGGCCUCCACAUAGAACGCUCACGUCAACAUAUAAUACGAGAUGAUCUUUCGGUAACUCACGACUCGAAUUCGACUUCGAACCACUUACGAGUUUGAAACAAAACAAACGCACGCUUUUCUAAAUUUUCCUCAAUGCGUACUUUAUUUUUGUCUAGUUCUUUUUAAUCUGCUCGACUUGCGUCCGCCACGCGUCAAAUCGCUUUCUGCUUCACACGAGCUGAGCCCCGCAGGGAGGGGGGGGGGGGCGCGCUGACCUGCGAGAAAUCGGCCAGGCCGUACUCGGGGUGGGGGCGGGGUCCACGAUGAAAAGGAGCCGUCUGUGACGUGACGCGUGCGUGCGGGGCUGCCGCUGGCUCGCCUGGAUCGAGAUGACUCUCGUUGAGCCCGGCGCGGCUGCCCAGGCUGCCCGGCCACCAGGCGGGCUCCGGCCUGCCUCUGCACGUGCGAUGCGAACACAGGUGCAUGUGAGCCGUGUUGUCUGAUCCCCCACCACACUACCUCCACGCCGCCGCGAUGGCGCCGGCGCCACACUAACGUCACGCGGAAUUUGCGAGACAUUUCAAAGUUAAAUUCGUACGAUUUGUUACCGAGGAAAAGUAAGCUAUCUGCCUACGCCCAUCAAUAGGAGGGACACGCAGCAUGUCGGCGCCCGCGGACCCCGGUGUAGGCAACCCUGCCCGCCAGGCGUGUGUUGCGGCACAGUACAUAUGCUUGACUUUGACAGAGGACGCGGGGUUUUAUAGCCACCAUUGGGCAGUCGCGGUGUAGUUGUCAUUGUCCAGCAAGUCGUAUACCCAAAUAAAUUUCGAGUCCCUCUUUCUAUACCUGGGAAGUCACCUUUUGGCGGUCACCUUGUCGGAAGGUCGCCAAUGUCUUAAACAAAACGAAACCGGUUACCUUUGCUUUUCUCCCUAAAAAUCGCGUGUAGUGGCAGUGAUACAGCCCGGACGCUGCCGACAGCCUCCCGCUCAAUGCGUCCAGCGAGCGUCAGCGUCACACUUGAACUACCCUUUGUCCGGGUGCGGUCCAUGUCACCGUCUUGCUGGAGGCGUGCGCGCGCGCGCAGUCAUGUUCUGGGAAGCCCUGGCACUGCCUGUUAAGGUGUUAGCGCCACACUUGUGUUUCUUUUCCCCCCCGUCCGCGUGUGCCCGUGCCGCGACGAUCAACACGGCUCGUCGACACGGGCACGUCGCUGUCGCCGUCGUUGUCGGGCUCAGCCACGGCGGCGGGGGAGUUAUGAUCCGGCGACAGGACAGAGACAGACUGGCGCGCCGUUAUCUGGGGCCGUUGCGAAAUGUUUUGCGGUUUUGUACCCGCGCGCGUGACAUGCACGAGGGGGGCGGGCGCCCCUGCUUCUGCCAGGAAGCGUUGCCGUGGUGUCGCCUGCUGUCGCUGACUCGACUCGCGACUAUUACCCCGCGCGAGGCACGUUGUUUGUUGAUUCCGGGGUGUUUGCGAAGGAGUUCAUAUUAAUUGUUUGUUAUGCAUUCGCGAGUUGUUUUAUACUUUUGCCGUUGUCGAGUCGACGACCCAGUAACGCUGCAGGAGGGGGGGUUUGUAAUUGCGCAAUUGUUCGCCCGGUGUGGUGCCAGACCACCAGGCAGCCCGCUAGACAGCUGUGGGGUACUUAGCGGUGAGUCUUAGAGGAGGUCGCGAGUCAAGCGGCCCGCUGACUUGGCGCUUAUUUUUGUUGUUUUUGUUGAAAAAUUUGUUAUCUUUUGUUAUGCAUGGUGAAGGGGGGAAAUACGGCGCUGGCUCAACGCUGCUGUUGUUGUUGCUGUUGGCGGCCCGCGUACAAUUGCAGGCUUCCGUUCGCAAAGCCUCGUUCAGUGUGUUGGGCCCCCGCGCAUGAGGAGGAAGGGGGGGGGGGACAACCAGCCUCACCAUGAACUGCAGCUAUGACCCUUUACUUUUGCUAACCCAGCCUAUACUCUCCCCUCACAGACGUCGCACAGCUAAACGCGACGGUGAACGGCACCAUCGCUGCAGACGCCACCAACGCCACCACCACCCUGACCCCACCUGCGGCUAACGUGACUGACCCCGCUGCCACCCCCGCUCCCCCCGGCGCACCCACGACCCCCGGUCCUAGCAGCGCUCCCCUGGAACAGACCACGGCCGCCGCCGCCGCCGCGGUGGUCCCGAGCACGCCGGCACCGGGACCGGGCUUGAUGCCCGCAGGAGCGGCUGAGACGACGACGAUCGCCGACUCGACGACGACGACGCUCUCGAGCACCUCGACGGAGGCUGUGCCCACGACCACGGUGGCCGCCGCUGCCUGAACACCGAGUGACGAGUGAAGCUCUCUGUUUGAUAUGCCGGGGAAGCAUGCCGAAAGAAUUUAUAGCACCAUGACAUAGUUUUAUAAGAAUCUUGUAUGAAAAAGUAUUCUGCGCUCAAAUCUUGCCAAAUGAGGUUUUUAGGAUUCUCUCUCGCUGGGUAGAUAAUGGCUAUGAACGGGUUAUAUUUUGAAGAACAUAAUUGAGGGCAAAUUGAUCAAAAUGCAGUACUAUAUUAGCAUUAGAAACAAGAGUAGUAAAAACAGAAACAUACCAAAGUUUUCCCUUUGAAUAAGAGAUGUGAUAUCGUGCAUCAGCACUUGUAUGAAUCAGGGUAUUUUUAAAAAUCGCAUUGUUUUGUUCGUGUUUUUGUUGGCGAGCAGUGUUUCAGUGUCCAGCGGAUAUAAUACAUGUAUAAUAAGGGAUAAGUCUCGUCGGAACCAAAUAAAUGUAAUUGAUGACAAUUAUUUUUUACACCCCA